rnacentral:rRNA from 1 species
AUUGAACGCUGGCGGCAUGCUUUACACAUGCAAGUCGGACGGCAGCACAGAGAAGCUUGCUUCUUGGGUGGCGAGUGGCGAACGGGUGAGUAACAUAUCGGAACGUACCGAGUAGUGGGGGAUAACUGAUCGAAAGAUCAGCUAAUACCGCAUACGUCUUGAGAGGGAAAGCAGGGGACCUUCGGGCCUUGCGCUAUUCGAGCGGCCGAUAUCUGAUUAGCUAGUUGGUGGGGUAAAGGCCUACCAAGGCGACGAUCAGUAGCGGGUCUGAGAGGAUGAUCCGCCACACUGGGACUGAGACACGGCCCAGACUCCUACGGGAGGCAGCAGUGGGGAAUUUUGGACAAUGGGCGCAAGCCUGAUCCAGCCAUGCCGCGUGUCUGAAGAAGGCCUUCGGGUUGUAAAGGACUUUUGUCAGGGAAGAAAAGGCUGUUGCUAAUAUCAGCGGCUGAUGACGGUACCUGAAGAAUAAGCACCGGCUAACUACGUGCCAGCAGCCGCGGUAAUACGUAGGGUGCGAGCGUUAAUCGGAAUUACUGGGCGUAAAGCGAGCGCAGACGGUUACUUAAGCAGGAUGUGAAAUCCCCGGGCUCAACCUGGGAACUGCGUUCUGAACUGGGUGACUAGAGUGUGUCAGAGGGAGGUAGAAUUCCACGUGUAGCAGUGAAAUGCGUAGAGAUGUGGAGGAAUACCGAUGGCGAAGGCAGCCUCCUGGGAUAACACUGACGUUCAUGCUCGAAAGCGUGGGUAGCAAACA